GCUGGUGGUGUGAUGGGGUUUUGUAUUUCUCCAUUGGGAACACCGGCUAGGUUACUUUGGAGCACCAGUUUCUUCCGCCACAAGCUCAUGAUUUUCUAAUUUUCAGCCUUAUUGCUGAAAAUACCAAAGCCCAUCUAAUUCGUUUCUCGUUUUAAUAAAGAUCUCCCUCGAUUUCGUGUCGCUGUGGCCAAUCAGCCGCCGCCGUAAAUCGCCGGUGAUCCCUUGCUCACGAUUCCUGUUUCAGAUUAAAGAGAAUAAUUAAUGAUGUCGGACGGUUUGAUCUUUAACCGAUCCCAAG
rnacentral:misc_RNA from 1 species